rnacentral:rRNA from 1 species
GACGAACGCUGGCGGCGUGCUUAACACAUGCAAGUCGAACGGAAAGGCCCUGCUUUUGUGGGGUGCUCGAGUGUCGCACGUGUGAGUAACCCGUGAGUAACCUGCCCUCGACUUUGGGCUACCUUCAGUACCCUGUGGCUUGUACCGCAUAGGAGCUCCUGCUGCCUGGUGGGGGUUUGAAUGUUUCGGCGGUUGUGGAUGGACGCGCGGCUUCUCAGCUUGUUGGUGGGGUAGUGUCUGACCAAGGCUUUGACGGGUAGCCGGCCUGAGAGGGUGACCGGCAACAAUGGGACUGAGAGAAGGCCCAGAAUACUACGGGAGGAAGCAGUGGGGAAGAAUGCACAAUGGGCGGAAGAAGGAUGCAGCAACGCCGCGUGCGGGAUGAAGGACUUCGGGUUGUAAACCGCUGUCGCCUGUGAAGAAGAGUGAGUGACGGUAAUGGGUAAAGAGGCACCGGCUAACUACGUG